UGCAGAUGAAAGAAUUCUUAGGGCA
rnacentral:piRNA from 1 species